rnacentral:rRNA from 1 species
AUGGCGAACGCCAAGCUCGCGGUGGUGGCCAUGCUCGUGAUCCUACUGCAAGCAUCCACGUUAUGCGCCAUGGCACAGCACCACGACAGCGGCACCCCCGGGGUCAUGACGUGGAAUGGGUACCAGAGAGGCGAGGACGACGGGCCGUCGGAGUGCGACGGCAGGUACCACAGCGACAGGGACAUGGUCGCGGCGCUGUCCACGCGGUGGUACGAGGGUGGGCGCCGGUGCGAGAGGAUGAUCCGCAUCACCAGCACGCAAAACGGGCGCACCGUGGAGGCCAAGGUGGUGGACGAAUGCGACUCCAAGCAGGGGUGCAAGGACAAUAUCGUGGUCACCUCCCUCGCCGAGUGGAAGGCGCUCGGGCUCGACGUCAACGUCGGCGAGGCCCUCGUCACCUGGUCCGACGCCUGA